rnacentral:misc_RNA from 1 species
CCUAGAGUUGCAGGCUUUGCCUGCCAUCUCUUACCUAUGUCUUUUGAUGUACCUUACGUUUCCUCGGCGUGGUCCGCCCGCCGACUAGACAAACUUAAACCACCUGCAGUUGAAAUCAGCGUCUGAAAAAACUUAAUAGUUACAACUUUCAACAACAGAUCUCUUGGUUCUGGCAUCAAUGAAGAACGCAGCGAAAUGCGAUAAGUAGUGUGAAUUGCAGAAUUUAGUGAAUCAUCAAAUCUUUGAACGCACAUUGCGCCCCUUGGUAUUCCAUGGGGCAUGCCUGUUCGAGCGCCAUUUGUACCUUCAAGCCUUGCUUGGUGUUAGGUGUUUGUCUCGCCUCUGCGCGCAGACUCGCCUCAAAACAAUUGGCAGCCGGCGUAUUGAUUUCGGAGCGCAGUACAUCUUUGCGCUUUGCACUCACCACGGCGGCGUCCAAAAGUACAUUUUUACACUCUUGACCUUGGAUCAGGUAGGGAUACCCCGCUGAACUUAAGCAUAUCAAUAAGCGGAGGAAUCGGCAUCUUGGUCAUUUAGAGGAAGUAAAAGUCGUAACAAGGUUUCCGUAGGUGAACCUGCGGAAGGAUCAUUAAAGAAUUUAAAGAGUGCACUUCAUUGUGGCUCGACAUUUUCUACAAUUCACCCUAGUGCACUGUAAUACCUUUUUUUAAUUAACUCUACAAAGUUAUGAAUGUAACACCUUUUUUAUAAAGAAAUA